ncrna:unclassified sequences c-di-GMP-II-GAG riboswitch
UCCACAGGUAGAGGCUAAGAAGCUCGCCCCGAAAAAACACGGGCGCCCUAGGGGACGAGCGGAGCCAUUGGCGCGACCGGCUAUCCGCGAG